GACGAACGCGGCGGCGUGCCUAAUACAUGCAAGUAGAACGCUGAAGGAGGAGCUUGCUCUUCUAGAUGAGUUGCGAACGGGUGAGUAACGCGCAGGUAACCUGCCUGGUAGCGGGGGAUAACUAUUGGAAACGAUAGCUAAUACCGCAUAACAGUAGAUGUUGCAUGACAUUUGCUUAAAAGGUGCAAUUGCAUCACUACCAGAUGGACCUGCGUUGUAUUAGCUAGUUGGUGGGGUAACGGCUCACCAAGGCGACGAUACAUAGCCGACCUGAGAGGGUGAUCGGCCACACUGGGACUGAGACACGGCCCAGACUCCUACGGGAGGCAGCAGUAGGGAAUCUUCGGCAAUGGACGGAAGUCUGACCGAGCAACGCCGCGUGAGUGAAGAAGGUUUUCGGAUCGUAAAGCUCUGUUGUAAGAGAAGAAACGAGUGUGAGAAG
rnacentral:rRNA from 1 species